rnacentral:lncRNA from 1 species
UUACUUUGAACUUCUAAGUGCAGGAUCUAAAACCACUAGUGAAAUUUCUGGAGUCAAUUAGCAAAUCCCUUCAUAGAAAUUUCUAUCACUGGGUCUUCGUGAGCACACCUUGCAUCUCCUGAAAUCCCAAUUGCCACCUAGGUAUGAAACAACUUCAAGUGAUGAUUCCAGCUCAGAUGAAAGCUCUUCUUCCGAGUCAGAUGACGAGUGUGAUGUCAUUGAGUAUCCUCUUGAAGAAGAGGAGGAGGAGGAGGAUGAAGACACUCGGGGAAUGGCAGAAGGGCACCAUGCAGUUAAUAUUGAAGGUUUGAAGUCUGCCAGGGUGGAAGAUGAAAUGCAGGUUCAAGAAUGUGAACCUGAGAAGGUGGAAAUCAGAGAGAGGUAUGAAUUAAGUGAAAAGAUGUUGUCUGCAUGCAACUUACUGAAAAAUACUAUAAAUGACCCCAAAGCUUUGACCAGCAAAGAUAUGUGGUUGAAUCUAUGGAAAUGGAACCUGUAGAUACAGAGGGCCAGCUGUACUAAAUAAAAUUGCUGGUCAAGUCCAGGCACAGGGGCUCACACCUGUAAUCCCAGCACUUUGAGAGGCCAAGGCAGUGGAUCACUUGAGCCCAGGAGUUCAGUUUGAGACCAGCCUGGGCAACAUGGCAAAACCCUGUCUCUACAAAAAUUAGCCAGGUAUGAUGGCAUGUACCCAUGGUCCUAGCUGCUUGGGAGGCUGAGGCAAGAAGAUAGCUGGAGGCCCAGGAAGUUCAGGCUGCAGUGCUCCAUCAUCAUGCCACUGCACUCCAGCCUGGGAGACAGAGUGACACCCUCUCAAAAAAAAAAAAAUUCCUAGUCAAGGGGAAACAUAGAACUACAUAUUGAAAUUCUUGGAUUUGUAUUCAUGAAAAUACCUGGCUAUACCUUGGUCACUAGUAAAACCAUAAAAUCUCACUGCAGUGUCAGUAUUUCCCAUCAGGUUUAACCUAAACUUAAAACUGGUGCCUUACAACCCCAGAUUUUAUAGCCAUAGUACACUUUUCUUUCACUGUUCUCAAAAUACUAGGUUACGUGGCCUUUGGGAAGGAUUCUGUUUUCCUGCAUCCUCCAAAUUGCCGAGCAUGGUGUCAUCCACACACACUGUGAUGGGUACAUCUUUUUAAUUGAAUUUUCAUUUGGUAUGAAAGUAGUGGACGAGUGAACACAAUGCCAGGGCUAGAUAAUCAUGUCAGGACACCAGUUAUUUAGCAGUAAUAGAAUUAGGAUGACCAGAACACGUAAUUUCCCUUCUUUCAGUGUGACAACUCCAAAGACACAGGAAUCUGAAUAUAUACAGAAGAAAAAGGAAACUUUUCACGUGACCCAAAAUGUGAUUGAAAUGGUUAAAACUAAAUAAUCAGUAGCAGGAUGAUAAAGAGAUGGAAGCUCUAUAAUCCCAACUCUACCUUUUCUACAGAAAGAGGACUCUUGGGUUCUGGUGCUUCUGACAUAGGCUGUCUUUCUUUGAUACAUUUUUAAACUUUUAAAGAGUAAGCACAGCAGAAAUGAAUAUUAAACUCAUAUGAAGGCCCAUUGAAAAGACACUGUAGUCAUCCUCAUCACCAGUACUGACUACUCAGUCUCCACUGAGUUUCAUGUGACCCAGGGUUGAGUUGAUCAUCCACAAAGCAAGUGCCUUCUUCAUGUGUCCACAGCCUAAGGAAGUCAGAGUGGAGCUGAUGAGAGAAUGAAAUGAGUUCCAGACGGGCUUCCCUUUUAUUUUCCCUUUCCGUGGUUGAACAGUUGUAUUUGGGAUUGGGGUGGGAAUUGGGUUGGCUAUACACGUACAGUCUCCCAACCUAGUGCUGUGCUGAGGAGUUGAAGGAGGUGAGUUUGGUCUGGAUAGGAAGGAAGCAGCAUAAUUCAGUGUAGGCUAGUUAAUUUCUUCCUAAUUUCUAUGAAAAUUGUUUGCAAGGCCAGUAUGAUU